AGCAGUCUAGUAUAAUGGUGAGGAGACUGGGCUUACAACUCAGAGGUUGCAGGUUCAGUUCCAAUGCGGGGGCUG